rnacentral:rRNA from 1 species
AGAGUUUGAUCCUGGCUCAGGACGAACGCUGGCAGCGUGGAUAAGGCAUGCAAGUCUAAUCCGCUUUAGCGGAUGGCAGACGGGCUAGUAACACGUAAGAAUCUGCCCCAAAAUUUGGGGUAACCCGGAGAAAUCUGGGAUAAUACCGAAUGUGAUCUUCGGAUUAAAGGUCUAUUGUCUUUUAGACAAUAGAUCGUUUUGGGAUGAGCUUGCGUACUAUCAGCUUGUUGGUAGGGUAACGGCCUACCAAGGCGAUGACGGUUAGGGGGUGUGAGAGCAUGACCCCCAGCAUUGGCACUGAGACACUGGCCAAACACCUACGGGUGGCUGCAGUCAAGAACCUUCCACAAUGGGCGAAAGCCUGAUGGAGCGACGCUGCGUGCGGGAUGAAGGCCUUCGGGUUGUAAACCGCUUUUGUAGGGGAAGAAUCCGCCUUUGGCGGAUGACGGUACCCUUUCGAAUAAGAGGUUGCUAACUCUGUGCCAGCAGCAGCGGUAAUACAGAGACCUCGAGCGUUGUCCGGAUUUACUGGGCGUAAAGCGUCUGUAGGGGGCUUGUUAAGUCUUAAGUUAAAUCUUAAAGCUCAACUUUAAGUUCGCUUAAGAAACUAAUAAGCUAGAGCAUAGCAGAGGCGCAUGGAACUUGCGGUGUAGGAGUGAAAUCCUUUGAUAUCGCAAGGAAUACCAAAGGCGAAAGCAUUGCGCUGGGCUAUUGCUGACCCUGAGAGACGAAAGCGUGGGGAGCAAAACGGAUUAGAUACCCGUGUAGUCCACGCCGUAACGAUGAAUACUAGAUGUCCCGGGGUUUCGACCCCCUGGGUG